GACGAACGCUGGCGGCGCGCCUAACACAUGCAAGUCGAACGGAGCUGAGAGAAGCUUGCUUUUCUUAGCUUAGUGGCGAACGGGUGAGUAACGCGUGAGUAACCUGCCCUGGAGUGGGGGACAACAGUUGGAAACGACUGCUAAUACCGCAUAAGCCCACGAUCCGGCAUCGGAUUGAGGGAAAAGGAUUUAUUCGCUUCAAGAUGGACUCGCGUCCAAUUAGCUAGUUGGUGAGGUAACGGCCCACCAAGGCGACGAUUGGUAGCCGGACUGAGAGGUUGAACGGCCACAUUGGGACUGAGACACGGCCCAGACUCCUACGGGAGGCAGCAGUGGGGGAUAUUGCACAAUGGGGGAAACCCUGAUGCAGCGACGCCGCGUGGAGGAAGAAGGUUUUCGGAUUGUAAACUCCUGUCGUUAGGGACGAUAAUGACGGUACCUAACAAGAAAGCACCGGCUAACUACGUG
rnacentral:rRNA from 1 species